CCUACGGGCGGCACCAGUGGGGAAUAUUGCACAAUGGGCGCAAGCCUGAUGCAGCCAUGCCGCGUGUGUGAAGAAGGCCUUCGGGUUGUAAAGCACUUUCAGCGGGGAGGAAGGCGUUAAGGUUAAUAACCUUAGCGAUUGGCGUUACCCGCAGAAGAAGCACCGGCUAACUCCGUGCCAGCAGCCGCGGUAAUACGGAGGGUGCAAGCGUUAAUCGGAAUUACUGGGCGUAAAGCGCACGCAGGCGGUCUGUCAAGUCGGAUGUGAAACCCCCGGGCUCAACCUGGGAACUGCAUUCGAAACUGGCAGGCUAGAGUCUUGUAGAGGGGGGUAGUAUUCCAGGUGUAGCGGUGAAAUGCGUAGAGAUCUGGAGGAAUACCGGUGGCGAAGGCGGCCCCCUGGACAAAGACUGACGCUCAGGUGCGAAAGCGUGGGGAGCAAACAGGAUUAGAUACCCGUGUAGUC
rnacentral:rRNA from 1 species